rnacentral:lncRNA from 1 species
UGACAUGAGUAUAUGAGAACUCUUCGUUGAUCGUGUUCAGUGAACUCAUUCUCUAUUGAGCACCUACGUACUUGUCUUGAUGUCACACACACCAAUGACUCGAGACUAGUCACUCUCCCUGAGAGAAGACACAGCACGUACUGAUCUUAACGGACUGUCAAUGCCCAAUUGGCAAUCCUAUGAUCAGGAACGUUUAGGAUGUGUCUACGAAAGAAUGGUCUCAUGAAUCUAACUUCUUUAGAUCGCAUUCUCCCAAUCACAUAUUCCUUGGACUUAUCGUUUAAGCAUAUAACAUUUAUAUGAGACGGCUCAAACAAUAAUCUUUGCCCUUGAUAUUAAACUAGAUUAGUUUAACAUGUGAAAUGUCCGUAAAGUAUCAUCAUAUGAUUGGUUUUAGGGCACAUUUCCAACAAUCUCCCACUUGCACUAGAGCCAAUCAGCUUGGUCAUCAGUGAUGAUACCUCUUCUGUAGUCAUUUCAUAAAUGGCUGAGUAGUAGGCCUAGACAAUGGAUAUCUAUAUGUUAUCCAUAGAAGCAACCUUGAGAAUAACGACGUCACCAUUAUACAUGAUUCUCAAUCAUGUGGUUCAGUCUCUCAUUUGAGUUCGGAUCUUGAUGAGACCUUGAUUCCCUGGCUUGAGCUAUCGCCCCAUUAGUGUCGUAGUGUCGGUACACUAGAGACACUUUCUGGUUGGAACCGAAUAGAGAGUUCAUAAAUGAACUUUCCCAUCCAAACAACAUUGUUGUAAGCUUCUAUAUGGCAAUAUAUUUUGCAUUCAUAAUGGAACACACUAAAGUCAUUACUUUUAAUGUUUCCAUCCAAAUAUCUCUUUAGUCAUAAUAAAGAGAUAUCUGAUUAUCUCUUCAUUCAUAAUGAAGAAACAUCCAAUGAUGGAUUAGAUUCAUAAUCUAAUACAUUUACGCUUCCUUUACGUUACUCUAAUUCUUCCUCAUUCUUUGAGGAAUCUAUCCUUUAGUAUUUCUUAAAUACUUAAGGGACUCACUUGACAGUUGCCAUGGUUCUGAUCCUGGGCUUGCAUUGAUAUUGUCUUGUACCGAUCUAGGUACAAUUCAUAUCAAUGUUUUUCAUACAAUAUGAAAUACAUAAAUCACCUUUCUGCGUAUGCAUAAAGGAUUCUAUUUACGCAUUAUGUUUCUUUAGGAGUCAAAAAGGUACGUUUGAGAAGAGCUACCUCCUAGUCUUAGUAGAGUUGUUCUUCUGAUUGAAGUUUAUCAUCAUAUGAGAAACUUCCUAGCAUCUUUUGUCUAUUAUUAGGGAUUGAUAUAAUCCAAUUAUAUCUUGAAAUAUAUCAUUAUAGAUUUCCAUCCCAUGUAUAUAGACUAUGUCUCCCAUAUCCAUUCUAUCGUUAUAGAAUGUUUAAAGUCAUAACUUUAACGAAGAAGUAUUCUUUUCAUUUCCAAAAUUAAUAUAUCAUAUAUGUGUGUAUAUAUAUAUAUAUAUAUAUAUUUAUUUAAAUUUAGGAACAUGAUUAACUCCCACUAAUCUUUUGUAAACCUAGUAAACAAAAGAUUCAUUUACAUCUUUAUGAGAAAUCAAACGAUUUGAUCUUUCUCUCAUAAGACGUUUAUAGCUCCCACUAGCUUGCUAAGAUCCAUGAUGGAUGGAUCUCUACAACUUACAUGUCUUGUGAUUCAUAGUUUUAGACAUAUAUAUUAUCAAGACUAUCUUAAUAAUGGUUUCGGAAACCCAUAUAAUGUCCAAACAUUGAAUCACCAUUUAGUUGUAGCUAGCAAUCUUCGAAUUAAUUGAAAACAAGACUACGUCAAAGAUGGUUUCUUCAAAGUCAACCAAUUUCUUUGAUUGUAGUCACCUUAAGCUACCAAUUAGCUAUAAAGGUUUCAUUAUUUCGGGUCAAAUGGUACUUUACCAUUUCCUUGAGUAUAUGUCAUAUAUACACUCAACGUAGUCAUAAGGAUUCUCAUUCUUAUUUCUUUCGAAUUAAGUGGUGUAACUCUAUGACAUAGUCAUAAAGUUCAAACCAUUCAACUGAGACAGUUUAUAAAUCCUUCUCGACUACCUUGGAGCUUUUGGUAUAGGAACUAGGUUGUUAUAUUUGUUGAUCACUAACUUGUUUCUCAAAGAACCCAUUCUUUGAGUUCUAUCCCUCGUUCAUUUGCUCUUUGGCAAACCAUAUUGUAGGAUUACAAUGAACUACCGAACAAACAACAUUUGUUAGUUGGGUUAUAGAAGUGGUAUCCAAAUGUUAAUAUAAGGAUACCCACAAGAUAAUUCUUUAAACACAUAUUGCUUGUUUAGCACACAACCCCAAAUCUUAACACGAUUAAGACUUGUCUUUCUUUCCAACUACAUCUUAUGGAGUCAUGAAAAUUUUGGAAGAUCUUUCUAAUUGACAAUCAUAUUGUCUUAGAAGCAUAUAUCCUAUAUAUGGGUAAUUGAUAACAUCCAACGAACUAAAUCUUAUUCAAGUUCGUUCUUCUCCUAAUGGAGAAAUCCAUUAUCUUUUGAUGCUUCUUUCCUUGAUAUUUUCAAGGAAACUGUUCUAAAGUGUUAUCUUUCCUUGGAUCAAAUCUAAGGAGGCAAAUACUUUAGACGUCUUACUCAUCAACUUACAUUUCUUGAAUUCUUUGAAACCUUUUGCAAAGUAUUCGGACUUGUGUUUAUUCAAAAUAAACUAUAGUCCAACCGAGAGUGAUCUUCGGUGAAUGUCAUACAACAUGAGUAGUAUUAUGUUGUGGACAAGUGCCACUAACAUCUAAGUGAAUUAACCUCAACAACUUUGUGAUUCUUUCUUCUUUCCAAAAGAAUAAAGAUUCGAACAUUUCGCCUCUAUACAAUUUUAAUAAGAAGGUGUUGGAUCCGGAUCUAACGAUCCAAAGCAUCCAUCUAUGACCAACUCGUAUUUUAUGUUUUUGAGGUAUCACAACUCAGUUGGGAUUAGUCACUACCUUGCAACCUUUGGGGUUUUAAGCAUCAUUAUAUUCAAAACAGUUAACACUAAUAAAGAACAAUGUUUUGCCAAACAAAACAUUCAUCCAUCUCUACUAUAGUGACGGAAUUAAGUUCCUUAAAAUUGGAAUGUAAAGACAAUCUUUGGUUUUUCCAAUUUCUUUGGUAGUUCAUAUGGGGAAGUAAGUACUAUCUGCUUUCGCAAAGAUCUUUAUUUUAUUCACAUUCCGAAUGUGAAGCACCUUUUUCUUCUCUCAUAUAUCUUCUACUUUUUAUUAGUCACACUUUUACAACGAUUGUAAAACAUAGUUACUAAUACGGAAUCAAGCAUUCAAGUAGAAGAACCAACUAUUUUGAACCAUUCAAGAACAAUUUACAACACUUUCGAAAGGUGUGUUCUUUGACACUUGCAAGACAUUUCUUGCAAAUACCCCUUCCAAUGUCCAUCAUUUCAUAAAGAAAGUUUGUUCCCUUGGAGUUAUUUCGCUUUCUUCAUUUGACUUCUCCUUUGUCUACAAUAGUCAUGGUCCCUAAACUCCCACUGUCUCUCUUGAAACUUAUUUCAAUUGUGUUAUACACAUCAAACGAUUUGGAGAGCGUGUGGUUAUUGUUCACUAUAUAGUUUACAAUAAACUUAGUGAACCAUUUGGAUAGGGACACAAAGGUGAAGUCCUUGCCUAGUUUCCGCUUCUAGAAGUGGUGUAACACUUUAACACUCAAUGAUUCAAAAUCAUCAUAAGUCCAUGUUGAUGGACUAUUUUUGUCAACCAACCAUUAUGUUCUAAACAUAAUUACAAACUUUCAAGAGUUGUUCAAGGCAACUCUCAUUUCUUCAUACAACAAUUUGUAAGUGAAGGAUUAUGGCACAUAAAGUGUCCAUGCCUUUGUGCUUUCUUCUUAAGUUCCUUGUUCAUGUAACAAAGAAACAAGCACUAAUGUUUGUGUUAGUUAAGGGUUGUUCAAAGCAACUCUUAUUUCUUCAUACAACGAUUUGUAAUUGAAGAAUUAUGACUUUAAAAGUGUUGUCCUCUUUAUGAUAGACUUAUCUAACAUGUUCUUCCAAUGGUACAUUAUCAAUAGGAAGAUUGUGAGGAUGAGACUACUUAGGUACAUUUACAAUCCAUUUAAGACAAUCUUUGGGAUUGUUGUACCAAGUCCGGAAACUAAAGCAUUCGGUUUUCUUUGUCAAGUUUUGGAUAGCGUUUGCAAAUAUAUUGGUAAACAAAUACAUAACGAAUAUAAAUUGAUUGAUUUUAAGCCAUUUGAUCCGGGUCUUUAAAUCAAAUAGCACCACCCACUAUUUUUGGCAAAUUCCAUAUCCCUCAUUGGAAUUCGAGAGUUUUGGAGGAAACUCUUAGUAGGGUAUGGGAGACUCACUACUACCAAGCCCACCUCACAAUGAUAUGAUGUUGGCUAGCAUUAAUAAUAAUGAGAGAGUACGCUUACUCAUUUGCAUCUCUUGCAAGUACCCAUCUUAUUUGGCCUCUAGAGAAUGUAGCCUCACAAUGAUAUGAUGUUGGCUCCAUUGCACUUAGUUAAGUCAUUCCCACCAUGCAAGUUCGGGUAGGGGUUCAAGAACAACCUCACAAUGAUAUGAUGUUGGCUAUUCUCGUUGCCUACCUUUCACAACAUCAAAUAUGCAUAUAGACUCCUCCUGAGUGUAAGCACGCACUUUGUACUCCCCCAUGAUAGGGUGAAGCCGAUGUACGAGUCACAAACGAUCGGAGCCUACCACGGUGGAAGGCCACGAAAGAGUGUUCAAAGCACUCUCACGCUUCUCAACUUAAUAAUGGUUUGGUUGAGGGUUUUUAGGUCUCAUCACAUAUAAAUAUUCAUUUUAAUCUUUAUUAAAACAAUUUUGGUCCUAUUACAACUAUUGGUCCAUUUGAUUGAAUUUAGUUGUAUAUAAUACUCUCACUAUGCUUAUAAAACGGUUUUUAAAGCAAGAGUAUACUACUAACAUAAACUUUGCAUUCAUUUGAUGGACUAUAUAGUUGCCUUAGGGCCUUAGGAUGACUAUGAACCUUUGUUUAGAUUCAACACGAGCAUAGUGUUGAAUCUCGGUCUAGGGAUGGUGAUUGAUUUUAGUUACGCGGUUUAAUCACAUUAAGGCGUGUUGUCUUAGGGGCGUUGGACGCUCUACUCCAAAAUUUCAACAAAUACAAAAACAUCAUUAAAGGAGCAAAACAAUUUGUCCUUUAGCGUUUUUGGACCUAUACGUAAAAACGUAAACUUUUGGGCCAAAGUGCAAAUACACAAAAGUAUCAAAACUUUAUGUAAUUGCAUAAAAGCCCCAAAAGUACCCUAUUUUAAUAGGGUGGCCGGUUUUAGAGAGAAGGGAGUGAUGUGUGUGUUGAUUUGUAGGUUUAGACAUAAAGCAUGGAAGUGGUGCAUGACAUAAAUGUCAUGCAAGUGGUGUGUGUGAAAGGGAAUUAAUCCUUACACACCCACCAAUAUUUCUUACACCUUUCUAAUAAAUAUCUAAAACACUUAAACAUAUGAAAAACAUAAAACAUAAACUUUAUGAAAUAAAUCAAAACUUUGAAUAAAAACACCAAACUUUUUGUUCUUGGCAAAAAUGUCAAGAACAAUGAAGAACACUCAUGAAAAACUCAAAAAAUUUCCAUGAACAUUUUUCACCCAAAAACAUCCCAAAACCAUUCAAACUUAAGGGAAAUAACAUAUAACCAAACUAGGGUACAUAGGGGUUCCAAAAGUUACUUGAAAACAUUUUUAACAAGUCAAACAAGAACCCUAAAAUCCACCCUUUGGAUUUGGCCGAAAAUUCCCAAAAACAUGGCACCAAAUUUUAGCUCCAAUAUUCAUGCUCAUAUGAACUACAUCUACAACAUUUGAGAUGGCAAAUUUUAUAACAAAAUUUACAUUCAAAGAAGCAAGAAUAAAGCUUGUAACAAUUACAACAUUCAAAUCAUAAACUAUGAUAAUACAAAACCCAAAAGGAUUCACCAACUACUAGACCUAGGCUCUGAUACCACUUGAAGGAAAUUUUGUGAAAAACAUGUUCAUUUGAGCAACAUCUAUAGCAUGCAAUAAACAAAUUAAAGGCGGAAUCAUGCUUGCAUGCACUCAAAACAAAACAUUACCCAUUAAAUUCAAAGCCUAGUAGAUUGGUGAACCUUGACUCAACUUAAAACAACAUUUGUUAGUUGAGAAAUUAUACCUUUGUAGAUUCCUCUUUGCAUAAGCAAAGGCUAAUCACCCAAAGAGAGGGCCUUCAUUCCUUGCAUCUUAGAUCUAUGGAUUUGGAUGGAUGAAAUGGUUCUCCAAGUUCCCAAAAUUGAGAACCUCUAAGUCUCUUAACCAAGGUUAGAUUGGAGAAGAAAUGAAUGACCUUGGAGUAGUAGGAUUGCUAGCUAAACCCUCCAAGGAGGCCGGCCACUUUAGAGAGAAAGGAGAGCUUAUGUUCUCAUCCUUUCCCCAAAAGAAAACCCUAAAUGAAUUUUGGCUAUAAAGUCAUAUUUAUACCUUAAUUCAUUGGAGUGGCAAACUUGUAAAUAAGUCCAAAACUCACUCCAUCUCUAAAUGGCCAGGCUUAGGUAUUAUUGGGCUAAUUGGGCCUUUGUGAAUCAUUAUUCAUUAAGUUGUCAUACAACUUAAGUCAAUGGGCUUGACGUUCAAAGCCCAUGGGCCUUAAGGUCCAAAACUAUCCCGAGGUCUUUAACGAACUUAUUCGUUUGUUAAUUAACAUAUUAAUUAAUCUUUGCCAUAAAUAAUUAAACCAUUUAAUUAUUCUUACUCAUCUCCAUUGUUUCUUCAAUCCCCACCUUACACGGUGUACGAUCCAUUAGGUUCCUUUUAGCGAGGCAGUGGGCGAUUAAAACCAUUUCAAAUCGAUUGUGAAUUGCAACUUACUUUCAAUUCUCCCUUUAGUGAUUAUACACAUUUAGGGCUUCCACAAACCACGAGUGACACCUAGCAGCAUAUCAUGGUUACCCAAGCUAAUCAGAAGAGGUGGAUAACCUAUUCAGUUUAGGAUUACAAAUGCAAUACGGUCUUUCUUUAAUACAAUACUCUUGACCACAUUAUUUGGUUUGAUAGUUUAUUCAUGUCUACUAUCCAAUGUGAUUCGUGUGCUUAUAUGAUUACCUUGAAUUUGAUUUGGAACGACUUCCUAAAUCUCAUUCAUACUCUGGCCAGAGAUUCUUAAUCAUAUCAUAGAGUAUUCUCCCCCAACCGGUUUGAAGGUUAGAGAUCCCUUGUUGCGCAUUCACUUGCCUCCAUGGCUAAGUGGCUUAACCCCGACGAUGCCGUGGACACCCGCGGAUGGGGUGACUUUGACAUAAUCAAAGAUCAAGAACCUAACCACAAGACAACUAUGAUGCCUCAGGUCAAAUGACUACUUUGCAUUAUCCCAACCAUGAGUUCUUAUGUGACAUGAGUAUGAGAACUCUUCGUUAAUCGUGUUCAGUGAACUCAUUCUCUAUUGAGCACCUACGUACUUGUAUUGAUGUCACACACACCAAUGACUCGAGACUAGUCACUCUCCCUGAGAGAAGACACAGCACGUACUGAUCUUAAUGGAUUGUCAAUGCCCAAUUGGCAAUCCUAUGAUCAGGAACGUUUAGGAUGUGUCUACGAAAGAAUAGUCUCAUGAAUCUAACUUCUUUAGAUCGCAUUCUCCCAAUCACAUAUUCCUUGGACUUAUCGUUUAAGCGUAUAACAUUUAUAUGAGACAGCUCAAACAAUAUCUUUGCCCUUGAUAUUAAACUAGAUUAGUUUAACAUGUGCAAUGUCCGUAAAGUAUCAUCAUAUGAUUGGUUUUAGGGCACAUUUCCAACAAUUCAUGUAGGGAACUUGCAGGGAAUACUUUGGGUUGUUGUAUGCAAUCAUCCAAUUCAAUAACUUUAGGAAAAUCUGAGGGUUAAUUAGUGCAAUUCAUGGUUAAUCUGGGGCGUUGAGAAUUCAUGGUUUAUUGAAAAGCAACUGGAAAUCGUUUUGUAUGCAAGUGUGAUAUGUGUGGAGAAGAACCUCCUAGCUAGCCAAUCAUCCAUCUAAUUCACCCAAUUUCGUCUAAAAUCUGUUUAAGUCUUUCUUGUUUUAUUUUAUUUGAUUUUCGUCCAAAAAUGAAACCCCCAUUUACUUUAGAGUGUGUAACUAGUUAGAAUAUGUUUUAGAUUGUGUUUUUAAGUGUUUUGAGUCUAGGAAAACCCAAGAUUCGUCCAAAAGUGUGUUAGAGUGCAAAUCUGCCCAGUUUGUGUUUUUAGGCAGAUUUGAGUGUUUUGAGUUUGUUUUGAGUCUUUUGAGUUGUUUUAGUGUUUUAUAGUUUAGUUUUGCAUUCUUUGAGUCUAGUUCAGUGUUUUAAACUUUGUUUUACGUUUUUGAGUCAGUUUUAAGUGCUUUAGCAAUCCCUCCUAAUCCCCGGCCUAGAACGAUCCCUACUUACAUUCUUUACUACAAUUGAUAAAAAGAGGGUUUAAUUUGCGUGCUUAUAUAUUUCACAUCAAAUUUUUUGCGCCGUUGCCUGGGAUUAGCAAAGUUGCUAAUCCCUUGGAUCUUUUAUUUUGUUUUAAUUGAUUUCAGAUUCUGAGCUUGUUUUAUUUCCUUGUUCUUAGGUACUAGUUUAUGACUCGGAGUUCUCAUCCGGUUUGUGAACAUAUCUUGGACUUUGAUGACGAUUUCGAGCGAGAGUUGAGACGAAAGAGGAAGAAUCCAGAACCUAGUGAAUCAAGUUCAUAUUCAGAGGCCGAAUCUGAGUUUGAGGAAGAAGAACCCAUGGCAAGGGUGGGUGAAGUAGUGCAAGACAUGGCAGCGGACAACCGAACAAUCAAAGAGCGUUCCACUUCGGGAUUCGACAAUGCCGCACCCCUAUGUAUCCAAUACCCUGCGGCUGCUCAAGGCAAGACUGAGGAGUUCGAGUUGAAGUCAAGCCUGCUGCACCAUAUUCCGAAGUACCAUGGGUUGUCCAUGGAGGAUCCCAACAAGCACUUGAAAAAGUUCGAGGUGGUGUGUUCAAGCAUGACUCCCAUCAACGUUAACGGGAGUAUAUUGAAGAUGAAGGCUUUUCCCUUUUCUCUCUUGGAAAAGGUGAAAGAUUGGUUAUAUGAAUUAGCUCCCGGAACUGUCACAUCUUGGGAGAGCAUGAAACGGGCUUUCUUGGAGAAGUUUUUCCCAACUUCUCGAGUUAUUCUUCUACGAAAAAGGAUAAGUGGAAUUCAGCAAGAUGUAGGUGAAUAAUUUCCUACUUAUUAGGAACAUUUUAAAUCUCUUGUUGCUUCAUGUCCACAACAUCAAAUGAAGGAUGAGCUUUUUCUACAAUACUUCUACGAGGGGCUUCUACCAAUUGAACGUCAAAUGCUAGAUGCCUCAGCAGGAGGAGCCUUUGUGGACAAGACUCCCACAGCUACAAAGACUUUAAUUGCUAAUCGGGCGUUAAAUACUCAACAAUACGAAGGUGUUGGACAAAGAAGCACCCCACGACAACACCAAGUGAAUGAGGUAAGUGCCAUUUCUGAACUUCAAAAUCAAAUGGCUAACUUUACUACUCUUCUUUCUCAGGUUGUGGAAGGACCAAAAGUACAAAAUGUGGCUGCUUGUGGCGUGUUCUCCAUGCAAGGACAUCUCACGGAUAAGGGCCCACAAUUGAUUGAGAACGGAGGGUGGGAGACACUCAAUGCCGUGGGCUUUGGGAAUCAAUACCAACCAAGGAAUGAUCCAUUUUCUAAUACAUACAAUCCGGGAUGGAGAGAUCAUCCAAAUUUCAGAUGGAGAGAACCCCAACAAGGCCAACAACAAAGUGCAUUUAGGCAACAACCCCUGGGUUUCUAUCAAAAACCGUUUGUACCCACACAACCUCAAGCACAACCUGCCCAAAACAAACUAGGUUCGUCCAUUGAUAAUGAUUAGAUUUUUCAAUUACUAACUUCUAUGGCGCAGGGUAUGCAAACUAGGGACAAAAAGGUGGACGAGUUGGAGAAGCAAGUAUGGCAGAUUGCAAAGUUCAUGGGGCAAUUCUGAGAACAAGAAAAACUUCCUAGUUCAACCGUUGUGAAUCCAAAAGGAGGCUUUGAAUCUACCAAGGCAAUCAUGCUAAGGAGUGGAAAAGAAGUUGGAGCUGAUCAUAGACCAUCCAAAUCAAGUGAAAAGGAGGAUGAGAAGUUGCAAUUCGAGGAGGAAAGCCAAGACAAGGCCGCGACAAAGAUUGAGCAAUCCAUGCCGCAACCCCUUACACCCUUUCCACAUCCUCAUCCUUCAAAAUCAGGUAAGAUGGGUCUAGUUUUGGUUAAUACUAACCAUAUUCCACCUAAUGUACCAUUUCCUCGUAGGUUUAUGCAAUCAAAGAAAGAGGAGGCUGAAAAGGACAUUUUGGAAACAUUUAGAAAAGUUCAAGUCAAUAUCCCUCUUUUGGAUGCAAUUAAGCAAGUCCUGAGGUAUGCCAAGUUUGUGAAAGAACUUUGCACCACUAGGAAGAAGAUUUCAACCAAGAAGUUGUAAAAGUAGGUGAAAAUGUCUCAGCCAUCUUGCAAUGCAAACUGCCUCCUAAAUGCAAAGAUCCGGGUAGUUUUACAAUUUCUUGUGUCAUUGGUAAUACUCGUUUUGAAUCUGCCAUGUUAGAUUUAGGUGAAUCUAUAAAUAUCAUGCCAUAUUCAAUUUAUGCAUCUAUGAACUUAGGAGAGUUGAAAAAUGAUGGUGUGAUUAUACAAUUGGCUGAUAGAUCUAAUGCCUAUCCAAAUGGAGUUUUGGAAGAUGUUUUAGUGCAGGUUAAUCACUUAAUCUUCCUGGCAGAUUUCUACGUGCUUGAGAUGGACGAGUUGGACCAUGCCCCUUCAUUGCCCAUCCUCCUUGGAAGGCCAUUUGUGGAUGCAAAUUUCUUCCUCCUUGAUCUUGGACAAUUUUGCACCUACAAAACAAUUAACACCUUAGGUUAAGGCCAAGAGCCUCAUGCGCCCACGAUGAAUUGGGGGGGGGCUUUGGCCGAAGAACCUCCGAUGCCAAAGUUAGAAUUUAGAGAGAAAUAGUGUUUAGAGAAUUUUGGGAUUUUUGCCAAAGUGUUGGAAUUGAUUUUUUGGUGAGAAUAGG